rnacentral:rRNA from 1 species
GAUGAACGCUGGCGGCGUGCCUAAUACAUGCAAGUCGAGCGAACAGACGCGGCGCUUGCUCCUUUGUCGUUAGCGGCGGACGGGUGUGUAACACGUGGAUCACCUACUUAUCUGACUGGUAUCAUCUCGGGACUCCGGAGAUAACACCGGAUAAUCUAUUGAUCCGCAUGGUUCAUUAGAGAGAGACGGCUUUGCUGUCUCUUCUAGCUGGUUCCGCGCCGGAUUAGCUAGUUGGUACGGUAACGGCUUAUCAGGGCGACCAGGCGUAACCGACGUGACAGGGGGAUCGGCCACACUGGAACUGAGACACGGACCAGACUCCUACGGGAGGCAGCAGUAGGGAAUCUGCCGCAAUGGGCGAAAGCCUGACGGAGCGACGCGGCGUGAGUGAUGAAGGUCUUCGGAUCGUAAAACUCUGUUAUUAGGGAAAAACAAAUGUGUAAGUAACCAUGCACGUCUUGACGGUACCUAAUCAGAAAGCCACGGCUAACUACGUG